CCGCCGGCCAAUCAUGCAAGCUCGAGCGGAAUCUUCAUUAGCUUGCUUUUGAAGAUCAGCGGCGGACGGGUGAGUAACACGUGGGCAACCUGCCUGUAAGACUGGGAUAACUUCGGGAAACCGGAGCUAAUACCGGAUAAUCCUUUCCCUCACAUGAGGGAAAGCUGAAAGACGGUUUCGGCUGUCACUUACAGAUGGGCCCGCGGCGCAUUAGCUAGUUGGUGAGGUAACGGCUCACCAAGGCAACNAUGCGUANCCNANCUGAGAGGGNGAUCNGCCACACUGGGACUGAGAAACCGCCCNUACUCCU
rnacentral:rRNA from 1 species